rnacentral:rRNA from 1 species
ACUACGGGAGGCAGCAGUGGGGAAUAUUGCGCAAUGGGCGAAAGCCUGACGCAUCGACGCCGCUUGCGUUCUUCCUUUCUUCUUCUCUUCCCCCUCUUUCCUCCUUUCCUCCCUUUCACUGUGCUACUCAGCAGUGAAUUUACUUUACCUUCCACAUAAUCACCGUCUCACUCCGUUCCCUCCGCCGCGGUCCUCCUGCGGUUUCGAUCUUUAAUCGGAAUUACUGGGCGUAAAUCUCUCGUAGGCGGUAUGUCAAGUCAAGGGUGAAAUCCCCGCGCUCAACGUGGGAAAUGCCUUUGAAAAUGGCAAACUGGAGUGUGUGAGAGGAUAGUGGAAUUCAAGGUGUAGGAGUGAAAUCCGUAGAUAUCUGGAGGAACAUCAGUGGCGAAGGCGACUAUCUGGCACAUAACUGACGCUGAGGAGCGAAAGCGUGGGUAGCAAACAGGAUUAGAGAAAAAGGUAGUC